GUUUGAUACCUCAUAGUUUUAGGCACCUGCCACCUCUGCUGCCACCACUGUCAUUGCUGCCACUGUUGCCAUGGGAUUGUCUGGGUUCUGGGGCAUGACAGAACAGUGAACAAAGGAAAGUGGUGAAUUUCUUUUUUCUUGCUGAGUGUUAGGAAUCUCCUUUUUACUCCUUGAGCCAGACCUGGAGGACUUCUUCUGGAGCACUCUCUUUCCACUUCUGAGUGCUGUUUCUCAGUUUCAGGCUGCCUGGAGUCCAAGCCAGAGAUACGAGGGAAUAGAAGGGGAAACUCAGUGCUGGCUGGAAGACCUGGGGUUGCUGAUAAGGCAUGGCUCAGAACGGGCCUUGGACUGAGGCCAGCCCCUAGACGGAUCAGAAGACAAAAAGAGCAACCAGAGAAGGCAGAAAAUGUCAGUGCUUUUUCUUGAACCAUUAAAAUGGAUGCCACAAUAUAUUUCAUUUGAACCUCAUCACAAAACUUCCAAUGUGCUCAUAUAAGAGGUCAUUCGACAAAAUUAUACAUUUUGUGCCUUUUUUCCUCCUUCUCUUUAAAUAGAGCACCGUGAAGAUUUUCAUCUUCAGAAAAUCUGAGGAGAAAAAGAAGGACUAAAAACAGCAGCAAAAGAAGCAGCUUUAACAAAAAUGGACUGACAUUUGCACUUUUACAUUCUUCUUGGGUGAAGCUUGAGUGGCUGCGUAAAGACAUCACUGGAUGAUUUCAUUUCUGCACAGUACUCUCUGACUAUGUAAAAUUUCAAGGUCCCAGGAGUCAAAUAUUGGCCUGGAAAAUAUGGC
rnacentral:lncRNA from 1 species